GGCGCGUUGGGAUCCCCCUCGUAGUAGGUCAGCGCAGGAGUGACGCAUCAGGGCAGCCGGCCGCGGAGGUGGUUUUCCGUGGUCAAGCGUUCGAGCCCGUCCCGCAGGCAAAUCCGCGGGGCAUCGGGGCGAGGCGUGAUGAUGGGGGCCUUACGGCCCGAAUCCGGUGAUCCGUGGUGCCGAGAAAAGCUUCGGCGUCAGGCGCGUUGCCGCCCGUACCCCAAACCGACACUGGUGGUCAGGUAGAGAAUACCAAAGCGAUCGAGCGAAUCCUGGUCAAGGAACUCGGCAAAUUGCUCCCGUGCCUUCGGCAUAAGGGAGACCCCCUGCGGUGAUGAGCGGCGGGGGGUGGCACAGGCCAGGGGGUAGCGACUGUUUACCAAAAACACAGGAGCGUGCGAAGGCGCAAGCCGCUGUAUACGCUCUGACGCCUGCCCGGUGCCGGAAGGUUAAGAGGAUCCGUCAGCUUUCUGCGAAGCGGUGAAUUC
rnacentral:rRNA from 1 species